AGCUCUAAUAGCGUAUAUUAAAGUUGUUGCGGUUAAAAAGCUCGUAGUUCAAUCUUGGGAGGUAAUUUUGAGUGAUGGUCUGCUCAUUGAGUAUGUACUAUUCUCGACCUCUUCAUCUUCAAGCCGGGUUGCUCGCUUCAUUCUUUACUGAGUGAAGAGUAUUAGAGUUCCGGCGCAUUUACUUUGAGUAAUUUAGAGUGUUCAAAGCAGGCAGAAUCUUUUUCAGCCACUGAAUACAUUAGCAUGGGAUAAUGAAAUAGGACCGCUGUCCUCAUUUCGUUGGUUUCUGAGAGCAGGGUAAUGAUUAACAGGGACAGUUGGGGGCAUUCGUAUUUAAUUGUCAGAGGUGAAAUUCUUGGAUUUGUUAAAGACGAACUAGUGCGAAAGCAUUUGCCAAGGA
rnacentral:rRNA from 1 species